AGUAGACGAACUAACCAUUCCGAGUUGGCUGUCGUAAGGAUAUCACGCUCAGUAAGAACAUGCCUGAUCUCAUCCAUUUUAUGCAAAACCGAUUUAUUCAUGAUUUUCAAAGCAACAAUCUCUUUGGUGUCACGCUUCCUAGCCAACCAAACAGAGCCAUAUCCACCUUGUCCGACUUGAGUGAUGGUCUGGAAAUCUCCGUGACUAAUGCGUGUCCUCCUUUUCCUUAGAUAUACUCGUUCACGUCCAUUGUAUCGCUUCACUAGCUCGUCUCUUCGUGAAUCAGGCUCUUUAAGCAACUGCUCUUCAAAAAGACGGGCUCUUUGCUUGCGGGUAUAAAGAUAAUGAAGCUGCUCAAAGUAAUGGUCUAAAAAGAACAUUUGACAAAUGGUUGCCAUUCUCUUUACCUUAGGUUGGACCACUUUCUCCAUUUCUUCAACUGACAAGUUCAUAGAUCCAUUUUCCCAUCUUGGUGAACCCGUUGAACUUCUAUCUGACCAAUGAUUAUUAUCCUUGUAGCUCAACUCGCCAGAUCUAUCAAGACCACGCGGAAUAGGGCUUGCAAUCGGUAACUUACUAAUGUGUUUUGAAUGCAUAUGAUUGUCAGGAUAAUUUUCCUUCGAAGAUGCCACUGGG